UAUUCGACCGAAAGGUAAAUAUCAGCUGGUAAUUCUAGGCUAUCAAUUCAUCGUGCAUCCCGGGAUUUCAGCUGAUAUCCACUUUUCCGUCGAG
rfam:Anopheles dirus strain WRAIR2 unplaced genomic scaffold supercont1.15, whole genome shotgun sequence.